rnacentral:rRNA from 1 species
CGCACGGGUGAGUAACGCGUAGGUAAUCUACCCUUAUAACUGGGAUAACAUUGGGAAACUGGUGCUAAUACCGGAUACACUUCUUUACUGCGGGGUUAAAGGAGGAAAGGUGGCCUCUUCAUGAAAGCUACCGUAUGGGGAUGAGCCUGCGUACCAUUAGCUAGUAGGCGGGGUAACGGCCCACCUAGGCAACGAUGGUUAGCGGGUCUGAGAGGAUGAUCCGCCACACUGGAACUGGAACACGGACCAG